CAGCAGCCGCGGUAAUACCGAGGGUGCGAGCGUUAAUCGGAUUUACUGGGCGUAAAGCGUGCGUAGGCGGCUUCUUAAGUCGGAUGUGAAAUCCCUGAGCUUAACUUAGGAAUUGCAUUCGAUACUGGGAAGCUAGAGUAUGGGAGAGGAUGGUAGAAUUCCAGGUGUAGCGGUGAAAUGCGUAGAGAUCUGGAGGAAUACCGAUGGCGAAGGCAGCCAUCUGGCCUAAUACUGACGCUGAGGUACGAAAGCAUGGGGAGCAAACAGGAUUAGAGACCCGGGUAGUCCCUGUCUCUUAUAC
rnacentral:rRNA from 1 species